AUACGUAGGGGGCGAGCGUUGUCCGGAAUGAUUGGGCGUAAAGGGCGCGUAGGCGGCCUGUUAAGUCUGGAGUGAAAGUCCUGUUUUCAAGAUGGGAAUUGCUUUGGAUACUGAUGGGCUUGAGUGCAGGAGAGGUUAUCGGAAUUCCCGGUGUAGCGGUGAAAUGCGUAGAGAUCGGGAGGAACACCAGUGGCGAAGGCGGGUAACUGGACUGCAACUGACGCUGCGGCGCGAAAGUGUGGGGAGCAAACAGGAUUAGAUACCCUGGUAGUCCACACUGUAAACGAUGAAUGCUAGGUGUAAGAGGUAUCGACCCCUUUUGUGCCGGAGUUAACACAAUAAGCAUUCCGCCUGGGGAGUACGGCCGCAAGGUUGAAACUCAAAGGAAUUGACGGGG
rnacentral:rRNA from 1 species